AACGAACGCUGGCGGCAUGCCUAACACAUGCAAGUCGAACGAGACCUUCGGGUCUAGUGGCGCACGGGUGCGUAACGCGUGGGAACCUGCCCUUAGGUUCGGAAUAACUCCCCGAAAGGGGUGCUAAUACCGGAUAAUGUCUUCGGACCAAAGAUUUAUCGCCUUUGGAUGGGCCCGCGUUGGAUUAGCUAGUUGGUAGGGUAAAAGCCUACCAAGGCGACGAUCCAUAGCUGGUCUGAGAGGAUGAUCAGCCACACUGGGACUGAGACACGGCCCAGACUCCUACGGGAGGCAGCAGUGGGGAAUAGUGGACAAUGGGCGAAGGCCUGAUCCAGCAAUGCCGCGUGAGUGAUGAAGGCCUUAGGGUUGUAAAGCUCUUUUACCCGGGAUGAUAAUGACAGUACCGGGAGAAUAAGCUCCGGCUAACUCCGUG
rnacentral:rRNA from 1 species